UAAAAUGCAAUCAAUUUACCAGAUGUGACGAAAAAACAAACUAAAAGUGCGACACACGCCACAAAAACCGUUCCGUUGAAUAACUUCAUUUGUUGUUGGAAUUUUUACACUGAUAUGAUGCUGCGAUAUGUCCACUUUAUGUAGCAAUAGUCAUGUCUGGUAGAAGGGACAGUUUUAUAGCUUUUUAUCACAUGCGAGUAAUUGUAAACAAUUCUUGCAACUUGAAAUUUAUUAAGAAGGCUAAAUUUUUCUUAUAAAACGCAUCAGUCAGUACAGUUUAAAAACAUAAAAGUUUUGUUUAUGGAAACUCAAAAAUACAAAAAAGUAAUACUGAUAUUGUUUAACACAAUAAAAAUGUGAUUUAUUCUGUAAUGUCCUAAAAACAGAAAAAAAGAAUAGCACGUUUGAUUUUUUACAUUUGUUUUAUUGACAUUAAAAAAUGCCUUGUUAAUUGCCUUUUUUGCUGUUUUCUUUUGCCUAACUUAACUUAACCCUAUCCAACAGAUUUGUUGACCAGUUUUCGUCUCUGCGCACUCCCACACUUGUGUUGUGUCAGUUCCCCAACUCUAAUAAAUAUUUGAAAUGUUUUGUAUCGAAUUUUUUUCUUUUCGUUAUUGGAGACACGGUGCUUAAAGACGAUCCCCUUUAUGCUCCUGCGUAGUGGUCCAAUUUCUAGACGAUCACAUCAAAAAUUUAACGUUCUGACAAGGCCAGCAGAGCCCAGAACGGUCACACUAUUUAUACUCAAACAAUGAGAAAGUAGGCAUGCUCCUAGUUAUUUUAUUGAUUCAAUUUAUUAUUUAAAUCAAACGCAACAGUAUCAAGUGGUGAGUGUAAUUAGAAUUUUACUUGCACCCGAAAAAAUUUCAGAAAUAGGUCGAGCACAAUUGACUCACCCUGUACAAUUAUAAAAAAAAUCGAAUUCUAUGUGGCAAUAAACCUCGGGACUUUACAACUGCGUUUUGUGACGUUUGAUUUCUGUGUAAAAGAAGUUAUCACAAGUAGCGCAUAAAAAUUCAAAAGCACUUUUUUUUUAUACAUUCAGUUUUGUAAAAAUGAACUGAUACAUAGUUACAACUUGGCGUAAUCGCAAUUUUUAUCUUGCAAGCGUAAAUGAGCUGACGCAAUAAAGUUUGUUUUGCCUUAGUCACCAUUUCGAACCACCAUUUCUGUCUCAAUAAUCGAAAAUGUCGCAAAUUUGCGACUUUUACGACAACCAGAACGUUCUAAUAACCGGAGGAACGGGCUUUUUGGGCAAGGUUUUAAUCGAGCGCCUCCUCCGGGCCACAAAUAUCGCCCAAAUUUUUCUUUUGAUUCGGCCCAAAAGAGGCAAAGACGCCGAAACGAGACUGUUCGACAUGCUGGACAAUGUCUAUUUCAACAAAGUCAGAGCCGAAAAUCCGAAUUUCAAAACCCGAAUCAGCGUCGUAGAAGGCGACUGCGUUUCGGACAAGUUGGGAUUGUCUCUUCAGGACUCGGAAAAGUUGGUGGCAAAAGUCAAUAUCGUGUUUCACGUCGCUGCCACGGUGCAGUUCAAUGGGAAUAUCAAAAGUGCCUACCAGAUUAAUGUAGAGGGGACCAAAAAUUUGCUCAAGUUGUGCCAAAAAAUGAAAAAUUUGAAAAGUGUAGUUCACGUUUCAACGGCGUUUUCCAACUGCCAUCUAGACACAAUUGACGAAGUUUUUUAUAAUUAUGACUUGGGGUACGACCAAGUCAGGGUCAUGCUCCAGGAUUUAACACCAAAACAAGCUGAUGAACUCUCCCAAAAAAUAUUGGACGGUUGGCCAAACACUUAUGCCUUCACUAAAGCCCUGGCUGAGGCUAUGAUUGCGUCAGAAGCCAAAGACCUCCCUAUUGGGGUGUUUAGGCCGGCCAUUGUCACUUCGACGUACAAAGACCCAAUCGAAAACUGGAAUGACAGUUACGGAGGUCCGAACAGUAUCCUAGUAGCCGCUGGUAUGGGCUACCUUCGUUUGUGCCCAUGUGACCCUAGAUCGUACAUGGAAGCAGUUCCGGCCGACUUGACCAUUGCCUCCUUGAUUGCAGUAGCUUGGGACAUUUACAACAAAAACAAAACGGAAAUUCCUGUCUAUAACUACGUUUCCUCGAUCGAUAACCCGAUAACCUACUACGAAUUUUUCCAUUUCAACGCAAUGUAUUUCCCGUUCUACCCUCUCACAAAGGCACAAUGGGCGCCAAAAAGCCGUACCAUGAAAAAAACACUGCCUUAUCACGUCUUAAGACUUCUCUAUCACUAUGUUCCCGCCUUGAUUCUGGAUUUUUUCCGAGUGGUACGGUUCCAAAAACCGGAAAUGCUGUCCCGGAUUAGGAAACUCCACACACUAUUGGGCUUGCUUAGUUUUUACAACGAGAAAAAGUGGAAGUUUUCGAACAAAAACGUUAAACUCCUCUGGGAGAAGAUGAAUGAGGGUGACCGGGAGUUGUACAAUUUUGAUAUUUCGACCGUCCAGUGGAUACACUAUUUUAGGAACUACUACAAGGGUUUGAGGGUUUAUUUACUGAAGGACGAUUUGAGUACUUUGCCGCAGGCGAGGAAAAAAAUGAAAAGGUUCGAGUUUUUGCACAAUCUGGCGCUGUUUGGAAUUUAUUUCCUUGUGAUGAAUUUGAUUUGGAUCACAUUUUCGAAAAUGUACUCAUCAUUUUAGAAAACUGUACAACAGUAAUAAGUCAAGACUGUCUAUAUUAAUUUUUACACCACUUGUGCAUUACAAAUCGUUGAGAUUUGAAACAUAUUUUUAAUAAAUGUAUGUUCGAAAUAAUUGGUGUUUUUAUUCAUGACCCAAAAAAAAAUUCUACAAAUGAGUGUUCUUUUGUCAAAUUGACAAUAACGCCAAUCAAAAUUAUAGUGCUCUAAUAAAAUCAUUGAAUAAGUAGAAACACAAAAAGAAUCGCUCUUUGGAUAAGGAAAAUGUGAAGAUAAUCAUGUUAAAAGACACGUUCUUGUUUAUAGUUAUCUAUUUUUUCACCAUUGCAAAACAUCAUACAAACGGCUUAAAAUGCGAACUAAGAGGGUUGGUAAAUAACAAAGUCCAGUGCAUUCUUCACGACCGUGGAAUCAACCCCUUCGAUAAAAGCGAAAAUAGCAUCGCUCGUCUAUUGAAAAAAAUGCAAAGAGACAGAGAAAAACCGAAAGACUUGUGGAGAUACACUUAUGGUCUAGACUCAAACAAGACGUUUUUCCCCGGAAAUGAGCCGAAAGAAUUCAAGAAAUACGUUCGUGCCACUACUCCAGGCACCUUUACCCCCCAUAACUGAAUCACCCCCAAAGCCAAAUAGGCACUAGGUGGUGUGGCGAUGUGGACAGAGAGGGUGCCUUAACCUACGACGAUUUAGUGCUAUUCCUGCGAACCGACAACUGUUGUAAAGCACAUGAAUCCUGCCAUUUGGUUAUAGAAGGCAAGGAGAAGAAACACAAAUUGAUAAAUGAGGGAUUAUUACGACGGUAUCACUGCGAAUGCGAAAAACAAUUCCGCGAGUGUUUGAAAAAAGCCCAAAGUAACAUUGCAAAUAAAAUCGGCUUCACAUAUUUCACCCUGUUUGGACCCCAAUGCUUCAGGGAGGAUUUUCCCAAAACUAACUGCACUAAAACGAUCAUGGGCAGGUGUGCCGCUUAUGCGUACGAGAGGGAAAAAGGCAAAAAAUACCAGUGGUUUGAUAUUGCGACGUAUCACUGAAAACGGGUUAUUGUAGUAAUUAUUUUUUGACAGUCUUUUGUUGGGAUUCACGUGAAAAACGGAAAAUAACGAAUGAUUUGUAAUAAAUGUGCGUCACGUGGACACUUAAUUUUA